rnacentral:rRNA from 1 species
AACGAACGCUGGCGGCAGGCCUCAAACAUGCAAGUCUAGGGGGUGUAGCAAUACAUCACCGGCGGACGGGUGCGUAACACGUGGGAAUAUACCUUUCGGUACGGAACAACUGCGGGAAACUGCAGCUAAUACCGUAUACGUCCUAGCGGAGAAAGAUUUAUCGCCGAAGGAUUAGCCCGCGUUCGAUUAGCUAGUUGGUGGGGUAAUGGCCCACCAAGGCGACGAUCGAUAGCUGUUCUGAGAGGAAGAUCAGCCACACUGGGACUGAGACACGGCCCAGACUCCUACGGGAGGCAACAGUUGGGAAUCUUGGACAAUGGGGGAAACCCUGAUCCAGCCAUGCCGCGUGAGUGAUGAAGGCCUUCGGUUG